rnacentral:rRNA from 1 species
UACGGAGGGUGCAAGCGUUAAUCGGAAUUACUGGGCGUAAAGGGUGCGCAGGCGGCCAAGUGUGUGAGGCGUGAAAGCCCGGGGCUUAACUCCGGAAUUGCACCUCAAACUACAUGGCUAGAGCAUUGGAGAGGGUAGCAGAAUUCACGGUGUAGCAGUGAAAUGCGUAGAUAUCGUAAGGAAGACCAGUGGCGAAGGCGGGUCUCUGGACAGUUCCUGACGCUGAGGCACGAAGGUCAGGGGAGCAAACGGG